rnacentral:piRNA from 1 species
UGAAUGGUCACCCUGGUAGAGAACCACAGC